rnacentral:rRNA from 1 species
AGUGAACGCUGGCGGUAGGCCUAACACAUGCAAGUCGAACGGCAGCACAGUAAGAGCUUGCUCUUACGGGUGGCGAGUGGCGGACGGGUGAGGAAUACAUCGGAAUCUACUUUUUCGUGGGGGAUAACGUAGGGAAACUUACGCUAAUACCGCAUACGACCUACGGGUGAAAGCAGUGGAUCUUCUGACCUUGCGCGAUUGAAUGAGCCGAUGUCGGAUUAGCUAGUUGGCGGGGUAAAGGCCCACCAAGGCGACGAUCCGUAGCUGGUCUGAGAGGAUGAUCAGCCACCCUGGAGGUGAGACACGGUCCAGACUCCUACGGGAGGCAGCAGUGGGGAAUAUUGGACAAUGGGCGCAAGCCUGAUCCAGCCAUACCGCGUGGGUGAAGAAGGCCUUCGGGUUGUAAAGCCCUUUUGUUGGGAAAGAAAAGCAGCAGGUUAAUACCCCGCUGUUCUGACGGUACCCAAAGAAUAAGCACCGGCUAACUUCGUG